rnacentral:tRNA from 1 species
GUGAGAUUAAGUUAGUUUUGACUGUAUGUUUUCAAAACAUUUAGAGGCUAUGUUAGGUCAUCUUGCG